GACGAACGCUGGCGGCGUGCCUAAUACAUGCAAGUCGAACGCAGUGGGGACGGGUGAGUAACACGUGGGUAACCUCCCAUCAGAGGGGAUAACACUUGGAAACAGGUGCUAAACCGAUAGUGAUGGAUGGACCCGCGGUGCAUUAGCUAGUUGGUGCGGUAACGGAUCACCAAGGCCACGAUGCAUAGCCGGCCGUAGAGGGGGUGCGGACACACUGGGACUUAGAAACGGCCCAGACUCCUACGGGCGGCAGCAGUAGGGAAUCUUCGGCAAUGGACGAAAGUCGGACCGAGCAACGCCGCGUGAGUGAAGAAGGUUUUCGGAUUGUAAAUCUCUGUUGUUAGAGAAGCGGUAUCUAACCAGAAAGCCACGGCUAACUACGUGCCAGCAGCCGCGGUAAUAC
rnacentral:rRNA from 1 species